UACGGAGGGGACUAGCGUUGUUCGGAAUUACUGGGCGUAAAGCGCACGUAGGCGGAUUUGUUAGUCAGGGGGUGAAAAUCCCGAGGCUCAACCUCGGAACUGCCUUUGAUACUGCAAAUCUCGAGUCCGGAAGAGGUGAGUGGAAUUCCUAGUGUAGAGGUGAAAUUCGUAGAUAUUAGGAAGAACACCAGUGGCGAAGGCGGCUCACUGGUCCGGUACUGACGCUGAGGUGCGAAAGCGUGGGGAGCAACAG
rnacentral:rRNA from 1 species